GUCUGACUGACUUAUUUUACUUAACAUAAUACCCUCCACUUCCAUCCAUAUUGUUGCAACUGGCAAGAUUUCAUUCUUUUUGAUUGCUGAGUAGUAGUCCAUUGUGUGUAUAUACCACAUCUUAAUCCGUUCAUCAGUCCCAUGCUGCAGUCCUACUGAGUGCUGCUGAUGUUUGAACUCAGAUCCGUCCAUGAUUAAACAUAGAACUAAGGGGCCACGUUGCUCUGGACACGACAGAUAACUACCCUGUGGGGCUUUCUAUCUCUUGCAGCAAGCUCUGGAAAUGCUAUUGGUCAAUUUAGGUUACAAGUGGACUCCAGGCAGAUCACAGCGUGCAGUAGAAGGGGUGUGUGCUGCUAUCUGCCGUGAACGUGGAAGAAUCUGGUGGUUUCCAGCCCUCCUUCUGCCGUAGCUGCUUCUGCACUGGGAACUUCUGGUGGCGGUGGUGACGAUCUUGCCCAAAAGGAGAAAUUUCAUUUUGGUAUAGCCUGUUCCCAGCCCCUUCUUAAAUGCUCCAGAGAAGCAGUACUACUCACUGGGCAGAAGCCAUUCUGUGCAAGGUGCUGGUGCAUCUUAGUGACAUUCAGCCCCUCCAGUCUCUGCCUUGUUCCUAGAUUAGCUCCUGGUGCAUCCAGCUACCCCUGGGGUAGUUUGUUGAUUCUAGUAUUUUAGACUUGGUUUUCUAUCUUGGUCUUUCUGUUCGCUGUCUGAAGUCAGACCACUCUGAAUUCAGGGAGGCUAGUGAUAUUUUUUUUAGGGCAGAUACACCUGUGACCUUAUUGGGAGUCAUGGCAGAACAUUGCUUUUGCCUUUCUGUCAUCUACCAGGCCCUGCUUCUGUCUUUAAAAACACCCUUCAACUACUUCUGUGUAAGCCCCAGCCAGCGUCCUUCAUAAUUACUCUACCGUAUUCAUCAAGGCAGUUGAUAAGGGGUGGGAGGAAGCUGGGCUAUUGUAGCAAGACCUGCGGAUGGGAGAAGAGCAACGGGAGGCUGUAUGGAAAUUCAAGUUGCCCUCAUAGGACAGCUAAACUUCAUGUUUGUUUGUUUGGUUUUUCAAUCUUCUCUGAUAAGAAAGUGGUGAAGGACAUAACUAAUGACAGACCCAACAAAACAACCCAAAAGCUUAAGUUGUGUCAUGUGCCUAUAUUCUCACGAUCACAAAAGCCCAUGAGGUGGCCACUUCCUUUUUUUUUUUUUUUUUUUUAAUGUUUAUUUUUGAGACAGACAGAGUAUGAGUGGGGUAGGGGCAGAGAGAGAGGGAGACAAAGAAUUGGAAGCAGGCUCCAGGCUCUGAGCUGUCAGCACAGAGCCCAACAUGGGGCUCGAACCCAUGAACCGUGGGAUCAUGACCUGAGCUGGAGCCAGAUGCUUAACUGACUGAGCCAAGGUGGCCACUUUCUGCUAAGUUGUCUGUUUUGGGAGCAUCCUCAGUGAGGCCCAUGCUGGCAGACAGUUUUAUGUUGACUUGAGUGGAACUGCAAAGUGCUAACAGUAAAGGAAGGAGUAGGCAGGAUGGAGUAGAGGAGGUUGGAAGAAGUGGGAAAAUCAAAGGCAGAUGGAGAAAAGGAAACACCAAGGAAAUACGGAAUCACCACAGGGUUGGCCGUGCCCAAGGUGGGGGUGGGACUCACCUGGUUGAGGUGAGGGGGCCAAGAUAGGGUGAUGAAAUGGAUUUACUGGGGGUUUUGGUCAUGGUGUGAGGAUUAGAACCUGGGGUUCCAUUGACUUUGCCUGUUGGUACUUGGUUGGAGACCCGUGGAUGUACCAGGGGGCAAUAUUCUCCAGUCCGUGAUGAAUAGGAAAGCAGGACCACCAACCGGAUGCCCAACCCAGACCUCCACUGUUCCUCACCUGACUCCAGGGUGGAGGAGAAGCAGCCCGCACUCCAGACAACCCUGGCCUGUUCUUCACAAGUGACUAGUGGCUCAUGGGAAUGUGGCAAGCCAGGUCUUUUGGUACUUGAGUCGACUAGGUCUGAGAGGCCAUUGGAGUAGAGAAUUUAUCAGUGUUUGGCAUCUUACAGAGGCCAAGCCACAUCACUCCUUUACUCAAGCAAAUAGAGUAGCUUUCAUUUUGUCUGGGGCUGCUCCAAUUCCUUGUCACAUCCAGUCCACAUUUGUCAGACAGCGUGACCCCAAGCCUGAGCAUGGGCCUUGGGUUGGCCCCGUUGAAGGGACCAGGUCAGAGUUUUGGCGGAUGGGCCCUCUGUGGUCCUUCUGAUGCUAGUGGUUCUGGGUGUGGCCCCUGCUCUGUUGAGACCCUUCCGUUAGGUGUGCAGGGGAGGGUAUGGAAUCUCAGGAGGUGAGUGUGGCACACUUGUGUUCUGGUUCAGCGUGGCUUCAGCUGUUAGGACGUUUCAUAAUUUACCUCCCCACGCUUGGGUUUCCUCUGUGCAGUUGAGGCUGAUGUGUGACAUGGUGCCAGAAAAAUGAGAAAGAUGCCCAUCACUGCCUCACCGUCCCCUCUAACACUCCCCCAUUCUCGUACAUGUUUAUUUAGGGUGGUGGGUAGCUUAGUGGUUCACGAAUUCUCCUCCCUGUUAACCCGUGGUGGUCUGGAGUGGGUUCGUCUUUUAAGGUUUGAUGUGGCUGUGCUUUUAAUGUUAUUUUUGAAAGCCUUUAUUUUUUAAAAACAUUAACUCAGUAAUUUCUUAAAAAAAUUUUUUUAAGUAGACUCCACACCCAACGUGCGGCUUGAACUCCCAUCCCUGAGAUCAAGAGUCACGUGCUUUACUGACCCAGCCAGGCAGGCGCCCCUCAGUAAUUUCUGAGGAAAGCUUUUAGUUUCUCGGGUUUCAGUAGAGCGAUGUCAAAUAACACAAGAUUAGGAAUGAGACCUUUGUGAAUCCCAGCUAUGUCCGCCGAUGCGUGGCAUUGGGUGGGUCCUGCACCUGAGGCUAAUUUUCUCAUCUGCAAAAUGGGAAUUGUCUACCAUCUACCCUGGUCUGGAGAGGGUUUGUACACAUAAUGGUUAGGUACUAAAUGCUUAGGAUUCUUUCUAGCUGUUUGAUCCCUGGGAAGGAUUCAAAGCAGGCUUCGCCCUCCCUGGUAAAUGUCAGCAUGAGUCACAGGGUUUAUCUUCACAUCUAGUACUUGGAUGUGCUCGGCUAGAAGAACAGAGAUGAGAUAUGGCACCUGCGUGCGGGUCAGGGUCAGACUGCCCCAUGACAAAUGCUGGAGUUAAAAAGAAGGCCCGCAGGCAUCUCCAUGAAGUUCACCUUGUUCCAGUGCCGAACAGCAGGAUCUGUCCAGUCGGGCGAACUGACGAGGUGGGAUCUGCCUCAGGGCUGUUGGAUCCUAGAGCUACUACCUAUACCCAUCCCCCCUGAGGAACUACAAUGUCAUCAGAAUUCAGCUGUCUCCCAUCUCCGCUCUGCUUUCUUCAGUGUUCACUCCCUUCUCCUGCAGACGUUCUCUUUAAUAGUCUAUUCUCUCUGCAACCUUAGUGGGUGAAAGGAAGGAAGGAAGGAAGGAAG